ACAGGUGGUGCAUGGUUGUCGUCAGCUCGUGUCGUGAGAUGUUGGGUUAAGUCCCGCAACGAGCGCAACCCCUACGUUUAGUUGCUAACGCGUGAAGGCGAGCACUCUAGACGAACUGCCGUUGACAAAACGGAGGAAGGUGGGGAUGACGUCAAAUCAUCAUGCCCCUUAUGUUCUGGGCUACACACGUGCUACAAUGGCCGGUACAGACGGACGCAAAGCCGCGAGGUGGAGCAAAUCCUAAAAAGCCGGCCUCAGUGCGGAUUGCAGUCUGCAACUCGACUGCAUGAAGUUGGAAUCGCUAGUAAUCGCAGAUCAGCACGCUGCGGUGAAUAAGUUCUCGGGUUUU
rnacentral:rRNA from 1 species